rnacentral:rRNA from 1 species
GAUGAACGCUAGCUACAGGCUUAACACAUGCAAGUCGAGGGGAAACGGCAUCGAAAGCUUGCUUUUGAUGGGCGUCGACCGGCGCACGGGUGAGUAACGCGUAUCCAACCUGCCCAUCACUUGGGAAUAACCUUGCGAAAGUAAGACUAAUGCCCAAUGACAUCCCACGAAGGCAUCCGAAUGGGAUUAAAGAUUUAUCGGUGAUGGAUGGGGAUGCGUCUGAUUAGCUUGUUGGCGGGGUGACGGCCCACCAAGGCAACGAUCAGUAGGGGUUCUGAGAGGCAGGUCCCCCACAUUGGAACUGAGACACGGUCCAAACUCCUACGGGAGGCAGCAGUGAGGAAUAUUGGUCAAUGGGCGAGAGCCUGAACCAGCCAAGUAGCGUGCAGGAUGACGGCCCUAUGGGUUGUAAACUGCUUUUAUAAGGGAAUAAAGUGGGUCACGUGUGACUUUUUGCAUGUACCUUAUGAAUAAGGACCGGCUAAUUCCGUG